rnacentral:rRNA from 1 species
AUUGAACGCUGGCGGAAUGCUUUACACAUGCAAGUCGAGGGGUAGCAGGAUUAAGCUUGCUUAAUUGCUGACGACCGGCGCACGGGUGCGUAACGCGUAUGCAACCUACCUUAUACUGGGGUAUAGCCCGGAGAAAUUCGGAUUAAUCCCCCAUAGUACUAAUGAAUCGCAUGGUUUAUUAGUUAAAGCAUUGCGGUAUAAGAUGGGCAUGCGUCCUAUUAGCUAGAUGGUGAGGUAACGGCUCACCAUGGCUACGAUAGGUAGGGGGUCUGAGAGGGUGGUCCCCCACACUGGUACUGAGACACGGACCAGACUCCUACGGGAGGCAGCAGUGAGGAAUAUUGGUCAAUGGGCGCAAGCCUGAACCAGCCAUGCCGCGUGCAGGAAGAAUGCCCUAUGGGUUGUAAACUGCUUUUAUUUGGGAAUAAACCUCUUUACGUGUAGAGAGCUGAAGGUACCAAAUGAAUAAGCACCGGCUAACUCCGUGCCAGCAGCCGCCGCAG